rnacentral:rRNA from 1 species
AACGAACGCUGGCGGCAGGCUUAACACAUGCAAGUCGAGCGCCCCGCAAGGGGAGCGGCAGACGGGUGAGUAACACGUGGGAACAUACCCAUCUCUGCGGAACAACUCCGGGAAACUGGAGCUAAUACCGCAUACGCCCUUCGGGGGAAAGAUUUAUCGGAGAUGGAUUGGCCCGCGUUGGAUUAGCUAGUUGGUGGGGUAAAGGCCUACCAAGGCGACGAUCCAUAGCUGGUCUGAGAGGAUGAUCAGCCACAUUGGGACUGAGACACGGCCCAAACUCCUACGGGAGGCAGCAGUGGGGAAUAUUGGACAAUGGGCGCAAGCCUGAUCCAGCCAUGCCGCGUGAGUGAUGAAGGCCUUAGGGUUGUAAAGCUCUUUCACCGAUGAAGAUAAUGACGGUAGUCGGAGAAGAAGCCCCGGCUAACUUCGUGCCAGCCGCCGCAGUAA